rnacentral:rRNA from 1 species
UACGUAGGUGGCGAGCGUUGUCCGGAUUUACGGGGCGUAAAGGGCGCGUAGGCGGUUGCCUAAGUCGGACGUGAAAUCCCCAAGCUUAACUUGGGAACUGCGUCCGAUACUGGGUGACUUGAGUUCGGGAGAGGAAUGUGGAAUUCCAGGUGUAGCGGUGAAAUGCGUAGAUAUCGGGAGGAACACCCGUAGCGAAGGCGGUUCUCUGGGCCAAUACUGACGCUGAGGAGCGAAAGCGUGGGGAGCAAACAGG